rnacentral:lncRNA from 1 species
GCAUCGCUUUUUCUGGACAGGUUAGCUAACCUGCACCUACCAAUUUUGUACAUUAGAAGAAAUCUGAACCGCAAUUUUCAUACUUGAGUAACUGAAUUUUAUUGAUCCAAAUGAUAAUAUUGUAAUCUAUACGGACUUCCUGUGACCAACUCAUCUUCUAUACAGACGUCCUGACUGGUUGUGAUUCUGAUCAGCGAGAAGAAAAUAUACAAUUCAUUGUUGCACUGUUAACGCUAGCAUCAAGAGGUUGUUCAUGUCAUCAAAAUGUGCAACAAGAAUGAAAGUGCAACUACACUGCAGCUUCUUUCAGGUAUGCAGAGUAUGUCCUCUCAUACACCCUCUGCUUAAUUUGUCAAUUAUAUCCUAAAGAUAUGUGUUCACCAGGUACAAAGAACAUCUUAUUGGGAUAAAAAAAUAUGUUCAUCUUACCAGUGUUCAUUCCCUAUUUUAUUCUCUAUGGAACCCUCUCCUUAAUUAAGACAUGGUAUCCUUUAAAAGAAAUGUAAGACAUGGAAGGUUGAGUUUGUGGAAGUAUCAUCACAAAUGAUAGCGAGCAAAUUGAUAUUGGCAACACGUAGACCAGAAAGCGUUCCAGGUGAGAAAGCUGCCCUUAGUUGUCAAAAAUUUAUUAUUGUCUUUAAUUAGUGCCAAUAAAAAUUGUCUUCUUACCGGAAUCAUUAUAUUCGGCGUUCUCUUUCCUCUUAGGUUCAUGCUGCCUACACAUGCAUCAUAUUCAGGGCAUCUAGAAGUGCAAGUUGCAAGGUGUUCAGAAUACAUCAUCAAUAAAUAAAAGGAACAGUCAGAGAGUAAAAGUUCCAGGACUGGUUAAGAUAUAUUAACACGUUGAUCAUUUUGUAGUAAAUUUUCUUCUCCUGCCCUGCAGUUUGUCCGUAACAUUUCCCUUCUCUUGCACAUAUAAGAGACAC